GCAGCAUACUUUCCAAGCUCUCUCUUUAACUCUGCACAUUCUAUCUUUACCCUCGUUGCCUCAUCUUUGAUAUUAUAGGCCUCUCUUUUUAAAUCAUCUAUCUCUUCUAACAAAUUGAUUGUCUCUCCUUUGAGUUAUGCCACAUGUUCUUUUAUACCAAAAUUUUUUUCUCUAUACCUUCCAACAAUAGUAGACAAUCUUCUCACAUU
rnacentral:lncRNA from 1 species